UACAGAGGAGCCAAGCGUUGUCCGGAUUUACUGGGCGUAAAGAGCGCGCAGGCGGUCGUUCAAGUCGCGUGUGAAAGCCCCCGGCUCAACUGGGGAGGGUCAUUCGAUACUGUCGGACUCGAAGGCAGGAGAGGGAAGCGGAAUUCCCGGUGUAGUGGUGAAAUGCGUAGAUAUCGGGAGGAACACCAGUGGCGAAGGCGGCUUCCUGGCCUGUUCUUGACGCUGAGGCGCGAAAGCUAGGGGAGCAAACGGG
rnacentral:rRNA from 1 species